ACUUAUUCGAUCUCUUACGGUGUGGAUAAAGAAAACCUCGCUUCAUACAAAAUUUAUGCAACUCAGAAGAUGUUCGAUGGAAAUACGGACGGAAAUUCUGUUGUGACAAAUGUCUUAUCACCAGCUGUAACAGCUCGUUAUAUCCGCAUACACCCAAAGACAUGGAACAAAAAUGGCAUUUCCUUGAGAGUGGAACUUUAUGGUUGUCAAAGAGUGAAUGCAAUUCCUUGCAAAGCUGGUGAAAAGACACUUGGCGUGGAAGAUGAGAAAAAAGUUAAAGAUUCACAAUUGACUUC